UAGGGAAUCUUCCGCAAUGGGCGAAAGCCUGACGGAGCAACGCCGCGUGAGUGAUGAAGGUCUUCGGAUUGUAAAACUCUGUUAUUCGGGAAGAACAAAUGUGUAAGUAACUAUGCACGUCUUGACGGUACCUAAUCAGAAAGCCACGGCUAACUACGUGCCAGCAGCCGCGGUAAUACGUAGGUGGCAAGCGUUAUCCGGAAUUAUUGGGCGUAAAGCGCGCGUAGGCGGUUUUUUAAGUCUGAUGUGAAAGCCCACGGCUCAACCGUGGAGGGUCAUUGGAAACUGGAAAACGUGAGUGCAGAAGAGGAAAGUGGAAUUCCAUGUGUAGCGGUGAAAUGCGCAGAGAUGUGGAGGAACACCAGUGGCGAAGGCGACUUUCGGGUCUGUAACUGACGCUGAUGUGCGAAAGCGUGGGGAUCAAACAGG
rnacentral:rRNA from 1 species